rnacentral:rRNA from 1 species
GGAUUAGGCAUGCAAGUCGGACGGUAGGGCUUUAUCGUAAGAUAGAGUUUGAGAGUGGCGAACGGGUGAGUAACACGUAGGAAUCUACCCUUAAGACGGGGACAACCCAGGGAAACUUGGGCUAAUACCGGAUGAGAGUGCGAGAGAUUGCAUUUAAAAGGAUGGCGAAAGUUGUCGCUUAGGGAUGAGCCUGCGGUCUAUUAGUUAGUUGGUGAGGUAAGAGCUCACCAAGGCGAUGAUAGAUAGGCGGCCUUAACGGGUGGUCGCCCACACUGGGAUUGAGGUACGGCCCAGACUCCUACGGGAGGCAGCAGUCGAGAAUAGUCUACAAUGGCCGGAAGGCUGAUAGUGCGACGCCGCGUGAACGAGGGAGCCCUUCGGGGUGUAAAGUUCUUUUCUAUACGAGCAGUGCUAUAUAUAUGGAUAGUAUAUAUAGAGGGAUAGUAGUAUAGGAAUAAGCAACGGCUAACUCCGUGCCAGCAGCCGCGGUAACACGGGGGUUGCGAGCGUUGUCCGGAAUUACUAGGCGUAAAGGGCAGGUAGGCGGAUCUACGAGUUUUUUGUUAAAGGCUACGGCUCAACUGUAGUAGAGCAGGAGAUACUGUAGGUCUGGAAUGCGGUAGGGGAAGACAGAAUUCCUGGUGUAGCGGUGGAAUGCGCAGAGAUCAGGAGGAAUACCGAAGGCGAAGGCAGUCUUCUAAGCCGUUAUUGACGCUAAACUGCGAAGGUGUGGGUAUCAAACAGGAUUAGAUACCCUGGUAGUCCACACAGUAAACGAUAAUCACUAGGUGUCGGGUUCGAAGAGGAUUCGGUGCCGUAGCUAACGCGAUAAGUGAUUCGCCUGGGGAGUACGAUCGCAAGGUUGAAACUCAAAGGAAUUGACGG